AAAUUGAAGAGUUUGAUCAUGGCUCAGAUUGAACGCUGGCGGCAGGCCUAACACAUGCAAGUCGAACGGUAACAGGAAACAGCUUGCUGUUUCGCUGACGAGUGGCGGACGGGUGAGUAAUGUCUGGGAAACUGCCUGAUGGAGGGGGAUAACUACUGGAAACGGUAGCUAAUACCGCAUAACGUCGCAAGACCAAAGAGGGGGACCUUCGGGCCUCUUGCCAUCGGAUGUGCCCAGAUGGGAUUAGCUAGUAGGUGGGGUAACGGCUCACCUAGGCGACGAUCCCUAGCUGGUCUGAGAGGAUGACCAGCCACACUGGAACUGAGACACGGUCCAGACUCCUACGGGAGGCAGCAGUGGGGAAUAUUGCACAAUGGGCGCAAGCCUGAUGCAGCCAUGCCGCGUGUAUGAAGAAGGCCUUCGGGUUGUAAAGUACUUUCAGCGGGGAGGAAGGGAGUAAAGUUAAUACCUUUGCUCAUUGACGUUACCCGCAGAAGAAGCACCGGCUAACUCCGUGCCAGCAGCCGCGGUAAUACGGAGGGUGCAAGCGUUAAUCGGAAUUACUGGGCGUAAAGCGCACGCAGGCGGUUUGUUAAGUCAGAUGUGAAAUCCCCGGGCUCAACCUGGGAACUGCAUCUGAUACUGGCAAGCUUGAGUCUCGUAGAGGGGGGUAGAAUUCCAGGUGUAGCGGUGAAAUGCGUAGAGAU
rnacentral:rRNA from 1 species